rfam:Pteropus alecto contig55704, whole genome shotgun sequence.
GUGCUCACUUCAAUAGCACAUAUACUAACAUGGGAUGCUGCAGAGAUUAGCACGGCGCCUGCCCAAGGAUGACACGCAGGUUCAUGAAGCGUUCUGUAUUUAA